GGGGAUGAUAAGGAUGAUAAUUUCAAUCAAGAAUUAAACUAGUGAUAACAAUAAUUCUUCUACCUUUCUUCUUAGCAAUUUUUAUGGGGUUUAAAAUAGAGUGUGAUUCAUCCUUAAUAAUUAAAUAAUUCUUCAAGUAUUCAAGUAAUAAUAAUAAUAAUAAUGAUGAUGAUGAUGAUGAUGAUGAUGAUGAUGAUGAUGGUUGAAUAAAAUCCAUUUUUAUGAUGGUGGUGAAGUGACGGACGAAUUUGGGGACAAUGAAUAGUGCAAUUAGGGUUUGAAUGAGUGAUUACUAGCAUAUAUACAUCAUCUAAUAAAGGUUGAUGCAUACGUAUUGUGUACUUGCGGUCUUGUUGAUUUAUGAUUUUAGUUGUCGCGGAGGAGGUUGUCCCGGAUGUGGAAGAAAGUUAAGUAAUCUAAAGAUUGAAGUUAAAGUUGCUUAGUGGAUAUGCUUGCUUUAGCUAAAUGGGGAUAAUGGUAUUGGUAUUAGGACUCUUAAUGACCCCCUUUGAACUAUCGGCUCAUCGUACCAUUGUUAUGUCU